GGACGAUAAUGACGGUACUUUAGGAGGAAGCUCUGGCUAACUACGUGCCAGCAGCCGCGGUAAUACGUAGGGAGCGAGCGUUGUCCGGAAUUACUGGGUGUAAAGGGAGCGUAGGCGGGACUGCAAGUCAGAUGUGAAAUGCCGGGGCUUAACCCCGGAGCUGCAUUUGAAACUGUGGUUCUUGAGUGAAGUAGAGGCAAGCGGAAUUCCUGGUGUAGCGGUGAAAUGCGUAGAUAUCAGGAGGAACACCGGUGGCGAAGGCGGCUUGCUGGGCUUUUACUGACGCUGAGGCUCGAAAGCGUGGGUAGCAAACAGGAUUAGAUACCCUGGUAGUCCACGCUGUAAACGAUGAUUACUAGGUGUGGGGGGACUGACCCCUUCCGUGCCGCAGUUAACACAAUAAGUAAUCCACCUGGGGAGUACGGCCGCAAGGUUGAAACUCAAAGGAAUUGACGGGGGCCCGCACAAGCAGUGGAGUAUGUGGUUUAAUUCGAAGCAACGCGAAGAACCUUACCAGGUCUUGACAUCAUAUGCAUAGUCUAGAGAUAGAUGAAACCUCUUCGGAGGCAUAUAGACAGGUGGUGCAUGGUUGUCGUCAGCUCGUGUCGUGAGAUGUUGGGUUAAGUCCCGCAACGAGCGCAACCCUUACCUUUAGUUGCUACGCAAGAGCACUCUAAAGGGACUGCCGUUGACAAAACGGAGGAAGGUGGGGAUGACGUCAAAUCAUCAUGCCCCUUAUGACCUGGGCUACACACGUACUACAAUGGCAAUCAACAAAGAGAAGCAAGACAGUGAUGUGGAGCGAAUCUCAAAAAAUUGUCCCAGUUCACAUUGC
rnacentral:rRNA from 1 species